rnacentral:rRNA from 1 species
GACGAACGCUGGCGGCGUGCUUAACACAUGCAAGUCGAACGAUGAUGCUGGAGCUUGCUCCAGUUGAUUAGUGGCGAACGGGUGAGUAACACGUGAGCAAUCUGCCCUUGACUCUGGGAUAACUGCGGGAAACUGUAGCUAAUACCGGAUACUUUCACCGGAAGGCAUCUUCUGGUGAUGAAAGAAUUUCGGUCAGGGAUGAGCUCGCGGCCUAUCAGCUUGUUGGUGAGGUAACGGCUCACCAAGGCGACGACGGGUAGCCGGCCUGAGAGGAUGACCGGCCACACUGGGACUGAGACACGGCCCAGACUCCUACGGGAGGCAGCAGUGGGGAAUAUUGCACAAUGGGCGCAAGCCUGAUGCAGCAACGCCGCGUGAGGGAUGAAGGCCUUCGGGUUGUAAACCUCUUUUAGCAGGGAAGAAGCGAAAGUGACGGUACCUGCAGAAAAAGCACCGGCUAACUACGUGCCAGCCGCCGCGGUAA